UACGUAGGGUGCGAGCGUUAAUCGGAAUUACUGGGCGUAAAGCGUGCGCAGGCGGUUUUGUAAACCAGAUGGGAAAGCCCCGGGCUUAACCUGGGAAUGGCAUUUGGGACUGCAAGGCUUGAGUGCGGCAGAGGAGACUGGAAUUCCUGGUGUAGCAGUGAAAUGCGUAGAUAUCAGGAGGAAUACCGAUGGCGAAGGCAGGUCUCUGGGCUGACACUGACGCUCAUGCACGAAAGCGUGGGGAGCAAACAGG
rnacentral:rRNA from 1 species